rnacentral:tRNA from 1 species
GCUGGGGUGGCUCAGUGGUUGAGCUUCGACGUGGGAACCAGGAGGUCCCGGGUUCGAUUCCCGGCCAGGGCA